rnacentral:rRNA from 1 species
GACGAACGCUGGCGGCGUGCCUAAUACAUGCAAGUAGGACGCACAGUUUAUACCGUAGCUUGCUACACCAUAGACUGUGAGUUGCGAACGGGUGAGUAACGCGUAGGUAACCUGCCUAUUAGAGGGGGAUAACUAUUGGAAACGAUAGCUAACACCGCAUAACAGUAUGUAACACAUGUUAGAUGCUUGAAAGAUGCAAUUGCAUCGCUAGUAGAUGGACCUGCGUUGUAUUAGCUAGUAGGUAGGGUAAUGGCCUACCUAGGCGACGAUACAUAGCCGACCUGAGAGGGUGAUCGGCCACACUGGGACUGAGACACGGCCCAGACUCCUACGGGAGGCAGCAGUAGGGAAUCUUCGGGCAAUGGGGGGAACCCUGACCGAGCAACGCCGGCGUGAAGUGAAAGAAGGUUUUCGGGAUCGUAAAGCUC